GAGGGCUGCGGUUCCGGCCGCCAUGUGUGGACCUUAAAGCGUCUGUGGAAGCGCUUUGACAUCUGUGAAGGGCUUUGUGUAGCAAACUAAAUUGAAGCGCUUAGCAGUCCCGGAAGCGCUUUGAGGUCUGCGAAGUAGCGCGGUGCAAACAGAAGCGCUUGGUGAUUACGGAAGCACGUUGUGGGUUUAGGAGCCAACCGAAGCCUUUAGUGAAUCUCUAAUCGUUGGGACUUCUCCGAAGCGCUUUGGCAUCUCUGAAACCUUGAGAACUGUGAUGGGCAGUGGAAAGAAGAGGGAAAGGUGCCCAUGGCGUCGGAGAGGCGCAAGGUCAAGUACCACUGGAGCAGCACUUCGGAAGGCUGUCCCAGCAAGCGCAGCUGCCUCCGGGAGCCCAGUGAUGUGGCCCCCUCCAGCCGGUCAGCUCACAGCUCUGCGUCGCGUUCACGAGGGGGCAGUAGCUCCAAGCGCCUGAAAGCACACAAGGAGGACGAUGUGGCUUGCUCGCCGAGGUUAUCCAGGAGCUCAACUCGACGCAGAAAUUCCUCCUCCUCCUCCUCUUCCCAUUCCUCGGGCCCAGGUGUGGGCGGGGCCGCCUCCAAAGGCUGCCUGAUUCGGAGCGCUCGCGCGUUCCUUUCGUCGAAGGGAACCUCUAUGCGUCCUGCCAACCCCUCCCUAGAAGAAAUGGCUUCUCUGGAGGAGGAAGCCUGCAGCCUUAAGGUUGAUUCCAAAGAUAGUUCUCGUAACUCCAUGAACUCUGAAUUUGCAGCUGAAGCUGAGGGUCAGAAUGAUGGGAUGGAAGAAACAAACAAGGUCCAGAAAAGGAAGAGGAAUAGGGUUGGGGACCAGGGCUCCGCAGUGAUCUACUUGAAGGCUCUACAGGGCAUUCUGGGGAAGUCCAUGCCCAGAAGGAAAGAAGCUGCCACUCCAAGGGUGAAGCCAAGCCCAGGAGUGCGUCCCAGCCGUGCCGAAGGACCAGCCGGAAGUGUCACGGUCUCUCCUCCUCAGAAAGAAAAAGAGUCGCCUCCAGAGGUCAAAGUGGAGGAGGAACCUCCUGACACGAGCAGCUUCUGUGACAGAAGGGUGAUUGUGGACCCUCAGGAGAAGCCAGUUGAGGAGCCACUUGGUGACCGAAGGACAGUCAUUGACAAGCCCUCUCCCCCGCUAGAAUUUUUGGAUGACUCUGACACUCAUUUAGAAAUCCAAAAACAUCAGGAGAGGGAGGUGGUGAUUGAGCACCCCUCUUCAGGAAGCGACUGGUCUGAUGUGGAUGAGGUCUCCACGGUCAGAUUCUCUCAGGAGGAGCCCAUCUCGCUGAAGUACUCCGCAGUUCCAGAGCCUUCUUCCUUCCCCACUGAUUAUGUUAUGUACCCCCCUCAUUUGUACAGUAGUCCUUGGCGAGACUAUGCCAGUUACUGGGCCAGCAGUCUCAAGACUCCUGGCCAUCCCUCUGUGGGCAGCAGCCAGGACACGGUGCAGGCUGGGACAAGCAGCCACGGCCUCCUAAGUGAUUAUCCCCCCACCUCCACAGUGAGCUCCCAGAGCACCUCCAGAGACCUGGAGGCCACGAAAGAAGGCAGAUCCCAGAAUUCCCGUUCCCUGCGUUUCUCCAGAAGCUCCGUAGAAGAAGUGAAGGAGAAAAGAACAUUCCGAGAGGAGUCUCCACCUCGUCCCUGUGGUGGUCAGGCAUCUGGCUCUCUGCCACGGAGCCACUGGGAGUCCAGCCUGGAGGAGGGCUUCAUAGACACCCACUGCCACUUGGAUAUGCUGUAUUCCAAGUUGUCUUUCAAGGGGACCUUUACAAAGUUCAGAAAGAUUUAUAGCAGCUCCUUCCCCAAGGAAUUUCAGGGUUGCAUCUCUGACUUCUGUGACCCUCGGACACUGACGGACUGCCUGUGGGAGGAGCUGCUGAAGGAGGACCUAGUCUGGGGGGCCUUUGGCUGUCACCCCCAUUUUGCACGUUACUAUAGUGAAAGUCAAGAGAGAAAUUUGUUGCAGGCCUUGAGGCACCCCAAGGCUGUGGCCUUUGGGGAAAUGGGCUUGGAUUACUCUUACAAGUGUACUACACCCGUCCCAGAGCAGCACAAGGUAUUUGAGAGACAGCUGCAGCUGGCCGUGUCUCUAAAGAAGCCCUUGGUCAUUCACUGUCGAGAAGCUGAUGAAGAUUUGUUGGACAUCAUGAAAAAAUUUGUACCUUCUGACUACAAGAUCCAUAGGCAUUGUUUCACCGGCAGCUAUCCGGUCAUUGAGCCCCUGUUGAAGUACUUCCCCAACAUGUCAGUGGGCUUCACGGCAGUCCUGACCUACUCCUCCGCCUGGGAGGCCCGGGACGCUCUGAAACAGAUUCCACUGGAGAGAAUCAUUGUGGAAACGGAUGCCCCUUACUUCCUGCCUCGCCAGGUUCCCAAGAGCCUUUGCCAAUACGCCCACCCGGGCCUGGCCCUGCACACGGUCCGAGAGAUUGCCAGGGUCAAAGACGAGCCGCUCUCCCGCACACUGGCCACCUUGCGUGAGAACACCAGCCGCCUCUACAACCUCUGAGCAAGGAGGGUGCCCUCAGGAGUCGCCCAGGAAAGGUCAUGAGAUUCACAUGAUGUGCUCUGUAAAAAUCAGGAGAAGAAGACCCUGCAGGGUGACCAGUGGUCCCUCAGAACAUUGGCUGACCUCCAGCCCCACCUGUGUCCUGGGUCAAGGAUGUAUCUGCGGAGCCCACUGGGACAGAGGGAACCAGGACAGGCUAUCUGCUUGCGACCUCGCCUCAAGGCUUCAGCUUCUGGCUGGCGGAUGGGUGGCCGCGGAGGGUAGGUGCUGCGGGAACAGCAUCUGGGCUCUGCCUGCCAGCCAGGGUGCUCCAGGGCAGUUGGCAAGAGCAGAGUGUGACUGAGGGUCUAGAGUGUGCCAGUUUGGGUCUCUGUUCCCUGCAGCCUGUGUUUUAAGCAGUGUGUGAAUAAAGUCGCCUCCUGCUCGCCGCAGCACACGUGGGCGUGCAGCUGGGCCCCUGCUUCUCAGUUA